rnacentral:rRNA from 1 species
GUUAUAGGGUCAAGCGAACAAGUGCAUGUGGUGGAUGCCUUGGCGAUCACAGGCGAUGAAGGACGCGGUAGCCUGCGAAAAGCUACGGG